UACGUAGGGUGCGAGCGUUGUCCGGAAUUACUGGGCGUAAAGAGCUCGUAGGUGGUUUGUCGCGUUGUUCGUGAAAACCGGGGGCUUAACCCUCGGCGUGCGGGCGAUACGGGCAGACUUGAGUACUGCAGGGGAGACUGGAAUUCCUGGUGUAGCGGUGAAAUGCGCAGAUAUCAGGAGGAACACCGGUGGCGAAGGCGGUGGUCUGGGCCGGCACUGACGCUGAGGAGCGAAAGCGUGGGUAGCAAACAGG
rnacentral:rRNA from 1 species